UACAGAGGGGGCGAGGCGUUGUUCGGAAUUAUUGGGCGUAAAGAGUCUGCGUAGGCGGUUUGUCGCGUUCUGCUGUGAAACUCGGGGCUUAACUCCGGGCCUGCAGUGGGUACGGGCAGACUAGAGUGCGGUAGGGGAGACUGGAAUUCCUGGUGUAGCAGUGAAAUGCGUAGAUAUCAGGAGGAAUACCGAUGGCGAAGGCAGGUCUCUGGGCUGACACUGACGCUCAUGCACGAAAGCGUGGGGAGCAAACAGG
rnacentral:rRNA from 1 species